CAUAAGAUUGUAGUAUCGCAUGAUAUAGCAAUUAAAGGAGCAAUUCGCUAUAAGAUGGACCCGCGUCGCAUUAGCUAGUUGGUGAGGUAAUGGCUCACCAAGGCGACGAUGCGUAGCCGACCUGAGAGGGUGAUCGGCCACAUUGGGACUGAGACACGGCCCAGACUCCUACGGGAGGCAGCAUG
rnacentral:rRNA from 1 species